AUUGAACGCUGGCGGAAUGCUUUACACAUGCAAGUCGAACGGCAGCACGGACUUCGGUCUGGUGGCGAGUGGCGAACGGGUGAGUAAUGUAUCGGAACGUGCCCAGUCGUGGGGGAUAACGUAGUGAAAAUUACGCUAAUACCGCAUACGAUCUAUGGAUGAAAGCGGGGGAUCGCAAGACCUCGCGCGAUUGGAGCGGCCGAUAUCAGAUUAGGUAGUUGGUGGGGUAAAGGCCCACCAAGCCAACGACCUGUAGCUGGUCUGAGAGGACGACCAGCCACACUGGUACUGAGACACGGUCCAGACUCCUACGGGAGGCAGCAGUGGGGAAUUUUGGACAAUGGGCGAAAGCCUGAUCCAGCCAUUCCGCGUGCAGGAUGAAGGCCCUCGGGUUGUAAACUGCUUUUGUACAGAACGAAAAGGUUUCUACUAAUACUAGGAGCUCAUGACGGUACUGUAAGAAUAAGCACCGGCUAACUACGUGCCAGCCGCCGCGGUAA
rnacentral:rRNA from 1 species